ACGCACGCUGGCGGCGUGCUUAACACCUGCCAGUCGAACUGAAAGGCCCUGCUUUUGUGGGGUGCUCGAGUGGCGAACGGGUGAGUAACACGUGAGUAACCUGCCCUUGACUUUGGGAUAACUUCAGGAAACUGGGGCUAAUACCGGAUAGGAGCUCCUGCUGCAUGGUGGGGGUUGGAAAGUUUCGGCGGUUGGGGAUGGACUCGCGGCUUAUCCGCUUGUUGGUGGGGUAGUGGCUUACCAAGGCUUUGACGGGUAGCCGGCCUGAGAGGGUGACCGGCAAAAUGGGGACUGAGAUACGGCCCAGACUCCUACGGGAGGCAGAAGUGGGGAAUAUUGCACAAUGGGCGGAAGCCUGAUGCAGCAACGCCGCGUGCGGGAUGACGGCCUUCGGGUUGUAAACCGCUUUCGCCUGUGACGAAGCGUGAGUGACGGUAAUGGGUAAAGAAGCACCGGCUAACUACGUG
rnacentral:rRNA from 1 species